GCACCGAGGGGGGACCAGCAUGGGAGUUGCAGAGUAUGAAAAUGAUUUUGAAAGACGUUUCCAGGUCAUGAGGUGCUCUCUGAGAAAUUUCUUCUGCUCCCUAAAGCAAGACGGGGUUUCACCAUGUUGACCAGGAUG